rnacentral:rRNA from 1 species
CCUACGGGAGGCAGCAGUGAGGAAUAUUGGUCAAUGGCCGCAGGGCUGAACCAGCCAAGUCGCGUGAGGGAUGACGGUCCUAUGGAUUGUAAACCUCUUUUGUCAGGGAGCAAAGGCCGCCACGUGUGGCGCUUUUCGAGUACCCGAAGAAAAAGCCUCGGCUAACUCCGUGCCAGCCGCCGCGGUAAUACGGAGGAUGCGAGCGUUAUCCGGAUUUAUUGGGUUUAAAGGGUGCGCAGGCGGAAUGGCAAGUCAGCGGUAAAAUUGCGGGGCUCAACCCCGGCUUGCCGUUGAAACUGGCGUUCUUGAGUGAGCGAGAAGUAUGCGGAAUGCGUGGUGUAGCGGUGAAAUGCAUAGAUAUCACGCAGAACUCCGAUUGCGAAGGCAGCAUACCGGCGCUCAACUGACGCUCAUGCACGAAAGCGUGGGUAUCGAACAGGAUUAGAUACCCCUGUAGUC